AGAAUCAACGCUGGCGGCGUGCCUAACACAUGCAAGUCGAACGAGAAAGUGGAGCAAUCCAUGAGUAAAGUGGCGACCGGGUGAGUAACACGUGACUAACCUACCCUCGAGUGGGGAAUAACAUCGGGAAACCGAUGCUAAUACCGCAUAACAUCGCAAGAUCAAAGCAGCAAUGCGCUUGAGGAGGGGGUCGCGGCUGAUUAGCUAGUUGGUAGGGUAAUGGCCUACCAAGGCUUAGAUCGGUA
rnacentral:rRNA from 1 species